GAUGAACGCUGGCGGCGUGCCUAACACAUGCAAGUCGAGCGAACAGACGAGGAGCUUGCGCCUCUGACGUUAGCGGCGGACGGGUGAGUAACACGUGGAUCACCUACCUAUAAGACUGGGAUAACUUCGGGAAACCGGAUCUAAUACCGGAUAAUAUAUUGCACCGCAUGGUUCAAUAGUGAAAGUCGGUUUUGCUGUCACUUAUAGAUGGUUCCGCGCCGCAUUAGCUAGUUGGUAAGGUAACGGCUUACCACGGCGACGAUGCGUAGCCGACCGGAUAGAGUGGUCGGCCACACGGGAGCGGGGACGCGCUCAAGACGCCUGCGGGAGGCAGCAGAAGGGAACCUUACGCAAUGGGCGAGAACCUGACAGAACGAGGCGGCGUGUGUGGUGAAGAUCUUGGGAUCGUAAAACUCUGUUAUUAGGUAUGAACAGAUGUGGAAGGAACUGUGCACGGCUUGACGGUACCUAAUCAAAAAGCCCCGGCUAACUACGUG
rnacentral:rRNA from 1 species